rnacentral:rRNA from 1 species
AGUGAACGCUGGCGGUAGGCCUAACACAUGCAAGUCGAACGGCAGCACAGUAAGAGCUUGCUCUUACGGGUUGCGAGUGGCGGACGGGUGAGGAAUACAUCGGAAUCUACUUUUUCGUGGGGGAUAACGUAGGGAAACUUACGCUAAUACCGCAUACGACCUACGGGUGAAAGCAGUGGAUCUUCGGACCUUGCGCGAUUGAAUGAGCCGAUGUCGGAUUAGCUAGUUGGCGGGGUAAAGGCCCACCAAGGCGACGAUCCGUAGCUGGUCUGAGAGGAUGAUCAGCCACACUGGAACUGAGACACGGUCCAGACUCCUACGGGAGGCAGCAGUGGGGAAUAUUGGACAAUGGGCGCAAGCCUGAUCCAGCCAUACCGAGUGGGUGAAGAAGGCCUUCGGGUUGUAAAGCCCUUUUGUUGGGAAAGAAAAGCAGCAGGUUAAUAACCCGCUGUUCUGACGGUACCCAAAGAAUAAGCACCGGCUAACUUCGUG